rnacentral:rRNA from 1 species
UUUCUGCCACCGAAUACAUUAGCAUGGGAUAAUGGAAUAGGACCCUGUCCUCCUAUUUUCAGUUGGUUUUGGCAGCGCGAGGACUAGGGUAAUGAUUAAUAGGGAUAGUUGGGGGCAUUAAUAUUUAAUUGUCAGAGGUGAAAUUCUUGGAUUUAUGAAAGAUUAACUUCUGCGAAAGCAUCUGCCAAGGAUGUUUUCAUUAAUCAAGAACGAAAGUUAGGGGAUCGAAGACGAUCAGAUACCGUCGUAGUCUUAACCAUAAACGAUGCCGACCAGCGAUUAGGAGACGUUGAAUACAAAACACCACCAUCGGCGCGGUCGCCCUUGGCGUUCGUGUUCACGCACGGGCGCGAGGGCGGCUUAGCCCGAUGGCACCGGUGAAUGACUCCCCUAG